UACGGAGGGUGCAAGCGUUAUCCGGAUUUACUAGGUUUAAAGGGUGUGUAGGCGGGCUUUUAAGUCAGUGGUGAAAUCUCCGGGCUCAACCUGGAAACUGCCAUUGAUACUAUUAGUCUUGAAUUUUGUUGAGGUAGGCGGAAUAAGUCAUGUAGCGGUGAAAUGCAUAGAUAUGACUUAGAACACCAAUUGCGAAGGCAGCUUGCUAAACAAAUAUUGACGCUGAGGCACGAAAGCGUGGGGAUCAAACAGG
rnacentral:rRNA from 1 species